rnacentral:pre_miRNA from 1 species
AAAGUACUCCCUCCGUCCCAAAAUCUUGUCUUAGAUUUGCCUAGAUACGGAUGUAUCAAGUCACAUUUUAGUAUUAGAUACAUCCGUAUCUAGACAAAUCUAAGACAAGAAAUUUGGGACAGAGGGAGUAGUUG